GAACAAAGGAGUGGGAUCCAGGGAACAUUGAGACGACUCGAACUCGGAUCAUCCCAAAAUGCUAAAAAUGAUGCGCAUCUUGUUGUUAUUAAUUCCUUUGACGACGGGCUUAACUUCUCAAAGGAUUUGUGGAUGCAUUAGAACGACAAUAGACUCCUUUAACUGUUCGUAUGCAAAAAAUGUGGACUUUGAGUGCUUGUCGAGGGAGAAGCCAGUGGAGCUUUCGCUUAUCGGAAAUAAUUACACAACACUGCCCGAGGAGCUGCCCAAGAAUAACUUGACAAGCAUCAAAUAUAUUAAUCUUUCGCAAAAUAAUAUAACCCAUCUACCAAAUGGAAUUGACGAAUUUUUGCCAGGCCUGAAGACAUUAAACUUGGAGCAUAACCAACUGACCGAUCUGAAAGAACUACUCAAGAUACCUAAGGGAGUCAAAGCUUUGAUUAAUCGCAAUCGAUUUGAAUGCGAUUGCGAACCCAAGUCCGAUGCCCAAAAGCUGCGAAUACAUAUAAAGGGUAUAUUUAGUAUAGCUAUGUGCUCCACUAUCGUUUCGGGGAUACAAAAGGAUGUGCCAUUCACAACCUUCUGUUUUGAAAACAUCGAAGAAGAUCCGAUAUGGUAUGAACAUGGGUUAUUUAGGGGUCUUGUUAUUUUCUUUAUUGUUGUUGUUGUUGCAGUUUUCGAAUUAAGACAGAAAAUUAUUACAUAUUGUAAAAAAACCAAAAUUGCCAUUGUAAAUAGGUGUAAACGCAAUUUCUUUCGAGAGAGAUAGAGACUUGAAAAUUGGAACUAUAAAGAUCGGUAUUUCUUGGAUAAAGCCACCCAAAAAAGUAUUUCGCAGUCAGAUUUUACAUUAACGAACUUAGCAACAAAAUUAAAAUCUCGAUUUUGAUAAAUCGCCCCAAAAGACUUUUAUCGAUUUCCUACAGUCAGAAAAAAAAGAACCGUGCAUCCAUAUAUAUGUUAAGUCCCUUAUUAAUGAAUAUCAGUACUAUUAACUAUCAGCAUCGCGGUAGCCUUGAAUACAUUUGAGUUGAGUACACAACGCUGGUGGCACUUCGCAAUAUUUUCUUAUUCAGUCAUUCCCUGACGCGGGGAAACUGUAACAAUCACAUACAUUUCGAAUUCUUUUUUUCUGAGUGUAGGAAAUCGUUGUAAAUCUAUAAUUCCACAUAUGUCACACAAUUAAAUUUUUACAUUUUUCGAAUGUCAUUUCGCACAUAAUAAUAAA
rnacentral:sRNA from 1 species